rnacentral:rRNA from 1 species
GACGAACGCUGGCGGCGUGCUUAACACAUGCAAGUCGAACGGAAAGGCCCUGCUUUUGUGGGGUGCUCGAGUGGCGAACGGGUGAGUAACACGUGAGUAACCUGCCCUUGACUUUGGGAUAACUUCAGGAAACUGGGGCUAAUACCGGAUAGGAGCUCCUGCUGCAUGGUGGGGGUUGGAAAGUUUCGGCGGUUGGGGAUGGACUCGCGGCUUAUCAGCUUGUUGGUGGGGUAGUGGCUUACCAAGGCUUUGACGGGUAGCCGGCCUGAGAGGGUGACCGGCCACAUUGGGACUGAGAUACGGCCCAGACGCCUACGGGAGGCAGGAGUGGGGAAUAUGGCACAAGGGGCGGAAGCCUGAUGCAGCAACGCCGCGUGCGGGAUGACGGCCUUCGGGUUGUAAACCGCUUUCGCCUGUGACGAAGCGUGAGGGACGGGAAUGGGUAAAGAAGCACCGGCUAACUACGU